AUGCACGCUGGCGGCGUGCCUAAUACAUGCCAGUCGAGCGAACGGACGAGAAGCUUGCUUCUCUGAUGUUAGCGGCGGACGGGUGAGUAACACGUGGAUAACCUACCUAUAAGACUGGGAUAACUUCGGGAAACCGGAGCUAAUACCGGAUAAUAUUUUGAACCGCCUGGUUCAAAAGUGAAAGACGGUCUUGCUGUCACUUAUAGAUGGAUCCGCGCUGCAUUAGCUAGUUGGUAAGGUAACGGCUUACCAAGGCAACGAUGCAUAGCCGACCUGAGAGGGUGAUCGGCCACACUGGAACUGAGACACGGUCCAGACUCCUACGGGAGGCAGCAGUAGGGAAUCUUCCGCAAUGGGCGAAAGCCUGACGGAGCAACGCCGCGUGAGUGAUGAAGGUCUUCGGAUCGUAAAACUCUGUUAUUAGGGAAGAACAAAUGUGUAAGUAACUGUGCACAUCUUGACGGUACCUAAUCAGAAAGCCACGGCUAACUACGUG
rnacentral:rRNA from 1 species